rnacentral:rRNA from 1 species
CGGACACGCUGGCGGCGUGCCUGACACAUGCAAGUCGGACGGUUCUUGUAUCUUCAAGCUUGCUUGCAGGUGCAAGGAUAGUGGCGGACGGGUGAGUAACGCGUGAACAUCUACCCAUUGGAGGGGGACAACCCGUCGAAAGGCGGGCUAAUACCGCGUAAGCCGCGAGGUGAGAGGCUGCCUAUUGGUGGCCGCCGAUGGAUGGGUUCGCGUCCUAUCAGCUGGUUGGUGGGGUAACGGCCUACCAAGGCGAAGACGGGUAGCCGGUCUGAGAGGAUGGCCGGCCACACUGGAACUGAGACACGGUCCAGACUCCUACGGGAGGCAGCAGUGGGGAAUAUUGGGCAAUGGGGGAGACCCUGACCCAGCGACGCCGCGUGAGGGAUGAAGGUUUUCGGAUCGUAAACCUCUGUUGUACGGGAAGAAGGAUGUGACGGUACCGUACGAGAAAGCCCCGGCAAACUACGUG